AUUUUUAUUAACUGCCAAAGUCAUAAUCAAAGAUGACUAACAUAUUGUUCAACCUGAAAGGCCAAGACAAUUUUUUGAAACAGAAGAGGAAGAAAUAUGGUGGAAAAACACAGUUGAACCCAUUGACAAGAUAAGCAGAAAGUGAAGUUGCUAAGCUAUCUGGAAGGAACUGGAACUGAAUAGACUGAAAAACGUGUCAUAGACUACAACUUCAUGAAUCUGCAGUGGAAAGCCCACAGGAGAGCACGAAGCAGUACUGCAGUGGUAUACAGGGCAUUAUGCACCCUUCUUCACCCUGGAACGACAUGGGAGGCACAGAGAGAUGCACCUCAUCUAUUUUCAAGACUUUACAGAUGUUCCUUGGCCUCCGUUCUCAAAGAAUUCUAGAUUUGUGUUUCCAACAACCUGUGUGAUAUUUCUGUAAAAUUCUCUCUAUUAUCUUGAGCUUAAUAAAGCGAGACUGACUCGGUAUUAAAAUCCAUUUAAAGUAUCCCAACAUGUCCUUUCUUACACACCUACUAAGCUUCUCUUUAGAGAGAAAGCCGAUAUUGAAUAAACUUCAAUCCCCUUUAUGAGAAAGGUCACGACUAAAACUCCAAGCCAGAAGGACUCGUGAGGCAUCACAGGAAGAUGGACGAGAAUCUGUCGAGGCAGUCUCCACAGAAGUAGCAUGUUCCCGGACAAACAAUGCUACAAAAAGAAACACUGUCUGAAAAAAAUUAAAAGGAGGAGAAGGAAUGAAAGGAGAAAAAGUAAAGAAGAAAGGAACAGUAAAAUAAAAAGAAAAGAAAGAAAAAAAUAAAAAUAGAAAAAAUUAUGUACAA
ensembl:lncRNA